CCAAUAGCGUAUAUUAAAGUUGUUGCAGUUAAAAAGCUCGUAGUUGAAUUUCGGGGUCAGUAGGUUGGUCAUGCCACUGGUAUGUACUGGUCUCACUGAUUCCUCCUUCCUGAUGAACUGUAAUGCCAUUAAUUUGGUGUUGCAGGGAACCUGGACUGUUACCUUGAAAAAAUUAGAGUGUUUAAAGCAGGCUAACGCUUGAGUACAUUAGCAUGGAAUAAUGAAAUAGGACGUUCGACCCUAUUUUGUUGGUUUCUAGGAUCGACGUAAUGAUUAAUAGGGAUAGUUGGGGGCAUUAGUAUUCAAUUGUCAGAGGUGAAAUUCUUGGAUUUAUUGAAGACUAACUACUGCGAAAGCAUUUGCCAAGGAUGUUUUCAUUAAUCAAGAACGAAAGUUAGGGGAUCGAAGACGAUCAGAUACCGUCGUAGUCUUAACCAUAAACUAUGCCGACUAGGGAUCGGAUGAUGUUAAUUUUUUAAUGACUCAUUCGGCGCCUUACG
rnacentral:rRNA from 1 species